GUUCCUAUGGCUCAACUGGUAGAGCAUGGCACGAGCGAUGCCAAGAUUACGGGCUCGAUUCCGACACGUAAUA